AUUGAACGCUGGCGGCAGGCCUAACACAUGCAAGUCGAACGAGUGGCGGACGGGUGAGUAAUGUCUGGGAAACUGCCCGAUGGAGGGGGAUAACUAAUGGAAACGGUAGCUAAUACCGCAUACCAUCGGAUGUGCCCAGAUGGGAUUAGCUUGUAGGUGAGGUAACGGCUCACCCAGGCGACGAUCCCUAGCUGGUCUGAGAGGAUGACCAGCGACACGGUGAGUGAGACACGGUGCAGACGCCUGCGGGAGGGAGCAGUGGUGAAUAUUGCACAAUGGGCGCGAGCCUGAUGCAGCCAUGCGGCGUGUAUGAAGAAGGACUUCGGGUUUUAAAGUACUUCCAGCGGGGAGGCGUUACCCGCAGAAGAAGCACCGGCUAACUCCGUGCCAGCCGCCGCGGUAAUAC
rnacentral:rRNA from 1 species